AGGACGCUGGCGGUGGCGGGCAGGGGUUUGCGGCCCUGGACGGCUGGAUGAUGGGUGCCGGCCUCGGGUCUGUCCGGUGGCUGGGCCUCGCCUGAAAUAAGUUCCUCCGGCGGCCUCUCGGACUUCACCAACUGCUCCGGGCUGUAGUACCUUGACCUGUUCGGCAACCUCAUCGGCUGCGAUGUGGCCGCCAGGGCGCUCUCCGGCUGCCGCAGUCUCAGAGCGCUCAACCUCUCCAGCAACCAUCUCGCCGGCGCGUUUCUGCCGAACAUCGCUGGCCCUGUGUGUAGUCCUCGCCGCUCCGUCCGCGGAGACCGGAGGCCAUGGUGGCGGGCCGCCUCGGCAUGGUGUCGCAGCACGAGCGGGGGAGAGCGCGGCCACGCUGUUGGUUCCUUAGGUCGACCUGGCGGUUGCAGCAUGUUUCUCGCGCCCGCCCAGACUGCAGGUGAUCCACCUACAGCCUGCGUCGCCACCAUGGGGAACUAUCGCCUCAGUGGUGUCCAAGAUCGGCAAGGUAAAGACCAAUCGUUAAUCCAUCUUGGAAGAAUGAGGGGUAGAAUCUUGGAAGUAAAUCUGACUGGGCAUUUAAUUGGACAGUACGUCAAUCCUGGGGACACGAUCGACUAGAUGAAGAAGCUGUUGGAGAGGAUCUGGCGACUGCAGGAGCCGAGCCGGGUAUGCCGCUGGGUAGUCGCCGGUGAUGGGGCGGUCAGCGGAGGACGCGUGCUUUAUACAUGCCCAAUUGUUUCUUCUGGUCUAGCUCCUCACCGUCGCCCGGCUGGCCGUCAUACUUAGUUUUGUGCCGUAUGGCGUGGUUGCUCUCUGGUUGGUUCAUCAUGUGCUGAUUCCUCUUCUUGUAUGAACGAUUUCCUCAAUUUCAAUUCUGGUUGGUAUGCUUUUGGUUCUUUGUGCAGAUCUUUGUUUUUAUUUGUCCGUUUUUGCUCUCUUUGCUUGAUUAGGAUCGUAUUGAUGUUCGUCGGUGGCCUCUGUAAAAUUCUGAUAUGACGCUGUUGAUUUUGUGCUGGUAUAAGCAUGUUUUGUCUUCUGGAUUUUUUUUUCCAUCCAAUUUCUGAUUUGUGCUUUUUGCAGGCAGGCUGGUUUUUCAAUUUGGUCCGCUGUGCCGAACACUGGCGGUCUGGUGGUUAUUCUAUAAGCUGAAUAUACACCCCAACCUGAACUAUCUCCAUUGCACAGAAAAAUUCAUCAUAAUCACUACAUCAACUGCUAAUUCUCUUCAUGGGAUCACCACUUCUAUCAAGUGGAAUCAACCGAGCCGUUGCUUUAGAUGGAGGCAGCAGCUAUUACUACCAAACCUUGAAAAGCAAUUGGAAACAACCCCCCAACCUUCUCCGACAGUAGUAGAGGUAAUUUAUAGCCUUUGUAAUCCUCAGAUUAAGCAAGCAGAGUAUCAGAUUACUAGAGGAUGAAAAUGAUACAGCGGGAAUCAAGAAGAGAGAAGUCAAAUGUUAGCGGGAAAAUCAAAAAGAGUUAUUAAGUAGCCAGGGAGCUGUGUACGCAUGAAGGUUCAAAACGGACUAAGCUAUGUGCUAACAGCAAGAAAGGACCAGCUUAGUUCUACACUGUAGCUUGAGUGCUUUGUAUGCACAAGUAAAGCUGUAAACUGUAAUAAGAAAAACUUAUCACUCUACUUGGAUUUA